UACGGGGGGGGCAAGCGUUGUUCGGAAUUACUGGGCGUAAAGGGCUCGUAGGCGGCCAACUAAGUCAGACGUGAAAUCCCUCGGCUUAACCGGGGAACUGCAUCUGAUACUGGAUGGCUUGAGAUUGGGAGAGGGAUGCGGAAUUCCAGGUGUAGCGGUGAAAUGCGCAGAUAUCAGGAGGAACACCAAUGGCGAAGGCAGCACUCUGGGACGGUACUGACGCUGAGACGCGAAAGCGUGGGGAGCAAACAGG
rnacentral:rRNA from 1 species